rnacentral:rRNA from 1 species
UGAGGAACAUGACCUUCGGCGGGGGAUAGCCGGCCCAACGGCCGGGUAAUACCGCGUACGACCACAUGGGGACAUCCCUGAGUGGUGAAAGCAGCAAUGCGCCGAUGGAGUGCCUCGCGGCCUAUCAGCUAGUUGGUGUGGGUAAUGGCCCACCAAGGCGACGACGGGUAGCCGGCCUGAGAGGGUGACCGGCCACACUGGGAUUGAGACACGGCCCAGACUCCUACGGGAGGNAG